AAAAGCUGUGAAAAAAAGCGUUUGGCAAAGCGGUCCAAAAAAACCGCUUUGCCGCUAUUUUCGCUUAAAGCGACGCUUAAGCGUCGCUUUUUGAACUAUGAUUGGAGCACCUUUGAACAUGUGAGUUUUUUAUUAUUUAGUUACUCAUAAAGAGUCACGCUAAAUCUAUUUUUUUAUGUUUGUAAAUCCAAUCAAAAAGAAGAGCCUGAAUAGACGCACCUCGUGUAAAUGAUCUUGUUUAUAUAAACUACAAGAAGAGAUUAUACGAGCGAUAUCAAGACUUGAAAGCCAAAGCUGCUAAUGGAACUCCAUUUGAUCUCAUUGAAGUAGACACAUUGAAUAUUUGAAUUAUCAUAGUGAAUGGAUGUAAGGUGUAGAGGGACCCCCUCCAACGAGUUCGUUUAUAGAGAAGAGGGAUUAACAUGGGCAACGGUGGCAAGGGUUGUUGGAUUGGAUGAGCUUGUAGGUCGUGUAACAAGGAGUCAAACACGACAAACAGAUGAUGUAGAGGAUUUGACAAGGAAUAUUGAGGAUCUAUUACCAACUGAAUCCGAUGAUAAUAUGACACAAUCCUAGAAUAGCAAAUUUAAAUCUUUGGGCUUCAUUUCAUAUAUUUAAAUAUUAGCUACUUUGAUACAUUCAUAUAUAUUUAAUUAUUAGCUACUUUUAAUUUUGAAGAUACCCUUUUACAGGUAUUUACCUUUA
rnacentral:lncRNA from 1 species